rnacentral:rRNA from 1 species
GAUGAACGCUGGCGGCGUGCCUAAUACAUGCAAGUCGAGCGAACAGACGAGGAGCUUGCUCCUCUGACGUUAGCGGCGGACGAGUGAGUAACACGUGGAUAACCUACCUAUAAUACUGGGAUAACUUCGGGAAACCGGCGCUAAUACCGGAUAAUAUAUUGAACCGCAUGGUUCAAUAGUGAAAGACGGUUUUGCUGUCCCUUAUAGAUGGAUCCGCGCCGCAUUAGCUAGUUGGUAAGGUAACGGCUUACCAAGGCAACGAUGCGUAUCCGACCUGAGAGGGUGAUCGGCCACACUGGAACUGAGACACGGACCAGAAGCCGACGGGAGGCAGCAGUAGGGAAUCUUACGCAAUGGGCGAAAGCAUGACGGAGCAAAGCCGCGUGAGUGAUGAAGGUCUUCGGAUCGUAAAACUCUGUUAUUAGGGAAGAACAAAUGUGUAAGUAACUAUGCACGUCUUGACGGUACCUAAUCAGAAAGCCACGGCUAACUACGUG